rnacentral:rRNA from 1 species
AGUGGGGAAUCUUGCGCAAUGGGCGAAAGCCUGACGCAGCGAUGCCGCGUGCGGGAUGAAGGCCUUCGGGUUGUAAACCGCUUUCAGCAGGGACGAAAUUGACGGUACCUGCAGAAGAAGCCCCGGCCAACUACGUGCCAGCAGCCGCGGUAAUACGUAGGGGGCGAGCGUUGUCCGGAUUUAUUGGGCGUAAAGAGCUCGUAGGCGGUUCGAUAAGUCGGACGUGAAAUCUCCACGCUCAACGUGGAGGGGCCGUUCGAUACUGUCGUGACUCGAGUCCGGUAGGGGAGUGUGGAAUUCCCGGUGUAGCGGUGAAAUGCGCAGAGAUCGGGAGGAACACCCGUAGCGAAGGCGGCACUCUGGGCCGGUACUGACGCUGAGGAGCGAAAGCGUGGGGAGCAAA